UUAAGCGACUAAGCGUACACGGUGGAUGCCCUGGCAGUCAGAGGCGAUGAAGGACGUGCUAAUCUGCGAAAAGCGUCGGUAAGGUGAUAUGAACCGUUAUAGCCGGCGAUGUCCGAAUGGGGAAACCCAGUGCAAUUCGUUGCACUAUCGUUAACUGAAUACAUAGGUUAACGAGGCGAACCGGGGGAACUGAAACAUCUAAGUACCCCGAGGAAAAGAAAUCAACCGAGAUUCCCCCAGUAGCGGCGAGCGAACGGGGAGCAGCCCAGAGUCUGAAUCAGCUUGUGUGUUAGUGGAACGGUCUGGAAAGUCCGACGGUACAGGGUGAUAGUCCCGUACACCAAAAUGCACAGGUUGUGAACUCGAAGAGUAGGGCGGGACACGUGGUAUCCUGUCUGAAUAUGGGGGGACCAUCCUCCAAGGCUAAAUACUCCUGACUGACCGAUAGUGAACCAGUACCGUGAGGGAAAGGCGAAAAGAACCCCGGCGAGGGGAGUGAAAAAGAACCUGAAACCGUGUACGUACAAGCAGUGGGAGCACCUUCGGGUGUGACUGCGUACCUUUUGUAUAAUGGGUCAGCGACUUAUAUUCUGUAGCAAGGUUAACCGUAUAGGGGAGCCGCAGGGAAACCGAGUCUUAACUGGGCGUUAAGUUGCAGGGUAUAGACCCGAAACCCGGUGAUCUAGCCAUGGGCAGGUUGAAGGUUGGGUAACACUAACUGGAGGACCGAACCGACUAAUGUUGAAAAAUUAGCGGAUGACUUGUGGCUGGGGGUGAAAGGCCAAUCAAACCGGGAGAUAGCUGGUUCUCCCCGAAAGCUAUUUAGGUAGCGCCUCGUGAACUCAUCUUCGGGGGUAGAGCACUGUUUCGGCUAGGGGGUCAUCCCGACUUACCAACCCGAUGCAAACUACGAAUACCGAAGAAUGUUAUCACGGGAGACACACGGCGGGUGCUAACGUCCGUCGUGAAGAGGGAAACAACCCAGACCGCCAGCUAAGGUCCCAAAGUCAUGGUUAAGUGGGAAACGAUGUGGGAAGGCACAGACAGCCAGGAUGUUGGCUUAGAAGCAGCCAUCAUUUAAAGAAAGCGUAAUAGCUCACUGGUCGAGUCGGCCUGCGCGGAAGAUGUAACGGGGCUAAACCAUGCACCGAAGCUGCGGCAGCGACACUAUGUGUUGUUGGGUAGGGGAGCGUUCUGUAAGCCUGCGAAGGUGUGCUGUGAGGCAUGCUGGAGGUAUCAGAAGUGCGAAUGCUGACAUAAGUAACGAUAAAGCGGGUGAAAAGCCCGCUCGCCGGAAGACCAAGGGUUCCUGUCCAACGUUAAUCGGGGCAGGGUGAGUCGACCCCUAAGGCGAGGCCGAAAGGCGUAGUCGAUGGGAAACAGGUUAAUAUUCCUGUACUUGGUGUUACUGCGAAGGGGGGACGGAGAAGGCUAUGUUAGCCGGGCGACGGUUGUCCCGGUUUAAGCAUGUAGGCUGGUUAUCCAGGCAAAUCCGGAUAAUCAAGGCUGAGGUGUGAUGACGAGGCACUACGGUGCUGAAGUAACAAAUGCCCUGCUUCCAGGAAAAGCCUCUAAGCAUCAGGUAACAUCAAAUCGUACCCCAAACCGACACAGGUGGUCAGGUAGAGAAUACCAAGGCGCUUGAGAGAACUCGGGUGAAGGAACUAGGCAAAAUGGUGCCGUAACUUCGGGAGAAGGCACGCUGGUGUGUAGGUGAAGCCCCUGCGGGUGGAGCUGAGACCAGUCGAAGAUACCAGCUGGCUGCAACUGUUUAUUAAAAACACAGCACUGUGCAAACACGAAAGUGGACGUAUACGGUGUGACGCCUGCCCGGUGCCGGAAGGUUAAUUGAUGGGGUUAUCCGUAAGGAGAAGCUCUUGAUCGAAGCCCCGGUAAACGGCGGCCGUAACUAUAACGGUCCUAAGGUAGCGAAAUUCCUUGUCGGGUAAGUUCCGACCUGCACGAAUGGCGUAAUGAUGGCCAGGCUGUCUCCACCCGAGACUCAGUGAAAUUGAACUCGCUGUGAAGAUGCAGUGUACCCGCGGCAAGACGGAAAGACCCCGUGAACCUUUACUAUAGCUUGACACUGAACAUUGAGCCUUGAUGUGUAGGAUAGGUGGGAGGCUUUGAAGCGUGGACGCCAGUCUGCGUGGAGCCAACCUUGAAAUACCACCCUUUAAUGUUUGAUGUUCUAACGUUGGCCCCUGACCGGGGUUGCGGACAGUGUCUGGUGGGUAGUUUGACUGGGGCGGUCUCCUCCCAAAGCGUAACGGAGGAGCACGAAGGUUAGCUAAUCCUGGUCGGACAUCAGGAGGUUAGUGCAAUGGCAUAAGCUAGCUUGACUGCGAGCGUGACGGCGCGAGCAGGUGCGAAAGCAGGUCAUAGUGAUCCGGUGGUUCUGAAUGGAAGGGCCAUCGCUCAACGGAUAAAAGGUACUCCGGGGAUAACAGGCUGAUACCGCCCAAGAGUUCAUAUCGACGGCGGUGUUUGGCACCUCGAUGUCGGCUCAUCACAUCCUGGGGCUGAAGUAGGUCCCAAGGGUAUGGCUGUUCGCCAUUUAAAGUGGUACGCGAGCUGGGUUUAGAACGUCGUGAGACAGUUCGGUCCCUAUCUGCCGUGGGCGCUGGAGAAUUGAGGGGGGCUGCUCCUAGUACGAGAGGACCGGAGUGGACGCAUCACUGGUGUUCGGGUUGUCAUGCCAAUGGCACUGCCCGGUAGCUAAAUGCGGAAGAGAUAAGUGCUGAAAGCAUCUAAGCACGAAACUUGCCCCGAGAUGAGUUCUCCCUGAGACUUUAAGUCUCCUGAAGGAACGUUGAAGACGACGACGUUGAUAGGCCGGGUGUGUAAGCGCAGCGAUGCGUUGAGCUAACCGGUACUAAUGAACCGUGAGGCUUAACCUU
rnacentral:rRNA from 1 species